rnacentral:misc_RNA from 1 species
AGAUGACUUAAACCAGAUUGUUAGACCUGAACUAACUGGACCAUGGGGCACAAGACUCUUUGAUAAAGCAGUCUCGUACAAAUCAGUUUCCUUGUCAGAACCUGUUAUAAUGGAAUUUCCUGAGCUUAAAGGACAUACACGCCGUGACUAUUGGUUAGCCAUUAUUCGGGAAGUUCUACAUGUGCAUCAGUUCAUACUUAAAUUCCAGAUUACUGGAAUUGAGCGUGAUGAGGCGCUUCUAAAAGCUAUAUUUGGCAUAUUGCGAGUACAAGCCCUGAAAGAUAUGAGCUCCAAAAAUUCACUUUGCUAUGAGGAUCUUCUUAUGUUCAAUGUAUGUGAUCAACUUCCUGGAGGAGACCUUAUACUAGAAACAAUUGCAGAUAGGUCAACUGUGAGGGCACUGGAGAGGACAAACUCUCCCAAACCUAAAAACAGAAUGUACUCAAUUUCAGCUUCAGCCCUGGCUUCCAACUUGGGUUUAGUUUUUGGGACAAGUUCGCAUGUUCCUAAUGAGCCAGGAAUUGUUGUGGGUGAAAUUUCUGUGGGGGAGAUGACUCCCUUGGAAAAAGCAGUUAAGGAAUCCAGAAGCAACUAUAGAAAGGUGGUGCAAGCACAAGCUACGGUUGAUGGGGUGAAAGUUGAUGGUCUUGACACCAAUUUGGCAGUGAUGAAGGAGUUGCUCUCUCCUAUGAUGCAACUUGGGAAUUGGAUUCUUCUUCUGGCUUACUGGGAAGACCCUUUGAAGUCCAUGAUUUUCUGUUCUGUUUUCUCAUUUAUUAUUGUCAGGGGAUGGCUGUGCUAUGCCUUUGCACUGUUGCUAACUUUUUUUGCCGUCUUUUUGGUAAUAAAUCGCUGCUUAAGUCAAGGCAAGACAGUUGAUGAACUAAAAGUAAUGGUUCCACCUUCAAUGAAUGCCAUGGAGCAACUUUUGGCUGUUCAAAAUGCAAUAUCUCAAGCUGAAGAACUAAUCCAGGAUGGAAACAUUGUUCUUCUCAAAUUUCGCGCUUUACUUUUGUCUAUCUUCCCACAGGCAACCGAGAAGUUAGUGGGUGUUUUUUUGGUUUCGGCACUAGUUCUGGCAUUCUUACCUUUGAAAUACAUAAUCCUUCUGACUUUUCUGGAACUCUUCACAAGAUAUUCACCUAUCCGGAAAGCAAGCACAGAAAAAUGGUCUAGAAGACUAAGGGAAUGGUGGUUCAGUAUCCCUGCGGCUCCUGUAGUUCUUGAAAAAGCCAAAGAAGACAAAAAGAAGAGAUGAUGAAAAUCUUUUGACAUACGAUCCAUCCGCGGAGCAAUAUCCUAGUAUGUCCUGUGGUUGUACAUUUGUAUUAUAUGAGAGAAGAUAAAGAUGUAACUUUCACUGGCCUUGGUGAGGUCUCCAUUAACGUUUGCUUUUAGUGUUGUAUCACUGUCUCUGGGUAUUGAAAACUUAUUAUGUGUUGUAUCCUACUAAUCAUGGGUUAUAAGAUCGGAUUUCUUAUCAACAUUUUGAUUUUAAAUCAUCUAGAGAAACAAUUGGCG